rnacentral:rRNA from 1 species
GACGGGAGAUGCGAGCGUUGUUCGGAAUCAUUGGGCUUAAAGCGUGUGUAGGCGGCUCGGUAAGUACCUUGUGAAAUCCCCGGGCUCAACCUGGGAACUGCAUUUGUGACUGCAUGGCUAGAGUACGGUAGAGGGGGAUGGAAUUCCGCGUGUAGCAGUGAAAUGCGUAGAUAUGCGGAGGAACACCGAUGGCGAAGGCAAUCCCCUGGACCUGUACUGACGCUCAUGCACGAAAGCGUGGGGAGCAAACAGG